CUUCUGGGACCCUCGGUCUCCUCUUCGAGGGUCCUGCCUGGAUUUGCUGGCACCGAGGGCAAAAUGAACCUUCCAGAUUGUCAGGGGAAAUCAGCUGACUCCCUUUGAUUCCCGGCCUCCUCCCCAAAGCUGGUUCUCACGGCUGAGGGAGUUUGCUGCCCUCUCAAAAGUUAAGUCUGUCACCUCCACGUGGGGGUGGAGAGUGCCAGGUGAGUGGAGGCCCAGGCAUCCUGCCAGGAGAGAGCCCUGGGCAGUGGCAGCCCCGGAAGCCGCAGAGCAGGAGCUGCUGCUGGGUGUCCAGAGCCAGGCUUUCCACCCCUGCACUGCCCACGAUGACGCCGAAGCAGAGGACCCAGAGGGAGAAAACGCCCCUUAGGAGAAGCGGGCAGGGACCAGGGAGCCUGGGAGGGAGUUCAGACAGGGAGGAGGAGAGCCUGCUGGGAGCAUUUCCUGAAACUUCCAGCUCCUCCUCCCCUCAGUCUUUCCCAGGGCUGAGGCCAUCCCUGGGCAGCCACCUCCCUGCAGCGCCAGGCCCGCUCUGCCCACCCUUACUCAUUCCUCCUGUCUGGUGCUUGAGGACGUGGCGUCUGGAAAGUCUGUCCGACCCCAGGUGGUUCCAUCUGGACUCCAGCCCACCUCUGUGCACAGGACGCAGGAGCUCUGGCUGCCCACCUCUCUGUGAAGGGUGAUCACGGUGAUGUAUUUGAUCUUCUGGCAGCAAUUUAAUCGAAUCUGGAAAUCUGGGCGGGUACCUGGUUCCAGACUCAUCCCCUGUUGCUAGGAAACCCAACUCCUGCAGAUCCCACCCUGCUCCAUCCAGAGACAGUGGGACAGACCCUCCCACAGCUGAAGCAGGGCUGGGAAUGCUGGAGACGGCUGGGAACAGCAGUGGCCUUUGCACUGGCUAACUUCACCACAGAGCUCCCACGGGUGCCGGAAAAUAGGCUGUGGGGGUACUGCCCUCCCUGCGAGCCCUCCCAGGUGCUGCAGGUCCACCCCGGCCCUCGCCCCCCGCUCCCCCUCCACUUCUUGCACCCCCUUUACCCAUGCUCUCCCUCCCCUCCUCCACCUACUUCCACAGAAUCUGUCUCUCCUGCUCCAGGUCACUUAGAAGCCUGUGGCGCGUCCCUCGGUACCUCUCCACCUGCACACCAUAAACACCCGCAGUGCGGGGCCAUGGCUGUCUCUCCCUGGUGUCCCAGCACCUGCAGGCUAGUGGCUCUUCAGACUCCUUGCACCCCAGUGGGGUGCGGGGGGGCUGGUGGAAAGUGAGCCCUGUGGCUCCUAGAGAAAUGGAUCCUCUGCAAAGAUACCAGCGCCGGGCACGCUGCUGUCAUAAAUCUCUGUGUAAUUUCAGAGUGUGCAGUCCCACUCUGGUUGUUGGCGUUCCAUGCCCAUGGCUGAGCCCUCCACCCCUGCAGCCACAUCUCCCCAUGACUUGGCUGAGCCUGACUCUGUGGAAAGCACCCUGUGGGCCCCUCCAGAGUGGGAGGGCAGGAUGCUGCAGUGUGGGCGAGGCAGGCUCGGGAAGGUGCCACUGCAGGAGCCCAUCUCCAGUACCCCAGCCCCACAGCCUUCUCGGUUCCUACACCUUUGUCAUGCAGCCGCUUACACUGGAGCCUUUCACAUGGUCCCACCCCAACGCCUGGCUUCAUGAGGGGGGUCUGGGGUCCCUGGGCCGUUCCUCAGACUCAUGGCUGUCCAGUCCCCAUUACACGGGGCCAACGAGGCUGCAGGCAAUGAUGUUGGCCUGCCACUAAAGAGCUGGCCAGUGGUCCCACGUGCCGUUACAGGUGUCCUUGUAAGAGGAGAAGCACGAGCUUUCACACCGAAGAGACCAUAAGAACACAGAGCAGAGGCUGGAGGAGGGCCUGGAGGAGGCAGGAAGGGGCCUCCCGCAGAGCCUUCAAAGGGAGGGGGCCCCACCCCUUGAUUUUGGACCUUGGCUGGUGGAACGGGGAGAGCAUGCAUUUCUGCUAUUGUGAGCCUCCAGUCCAUGGCAAUUUGUUACUGCAGCCCCAGGACACAAAAAAGCCACUAAAUCAGAAUCUGAAUUGGGAAGAGACCCCCAGGUAAAGCGAUGCCUGAAGUCUGGGACGCUCUGGGCUACACACUGUCUGGAGCCUGGGUCAUGUCGGCCCAGCAAGACCUGAGUGUGAAGGAUGAUCACACUGAUGAGCAGGAAGACUCCUUCAGGUUAAACUGACCACGUGGUGGCCUCUCUCCCCACAUUGGUCCUUCUAAUCCUCCCACCCCACGGGAGCUGUCCUGCCAUCACCCAGGCUGGGAAACUGAGGCCAAAAAUGAAGUAACUUGUCUGAGAACAACUGUCUAGCCUAUAGCUGAGCUGGGAUUAGAACCUGGGGUCCCUGGCUUGUAGAAUCUCUGAGCCGGUGGGCCAAGCCCACUCUGCCACCUGGGGCCUCUUGCUCACCACUUUGAGGAUGGUAGUGCCACCCGUCGCAGCCCCGUGCCCUCCCGCUCCAAGCAUACAGGUGGUGGGUGGGGGAAGCUGAGCCCUGACGGCCAGGCUGAACUUGCUAGAAGACACUGGGGCUCACUGUGAGAGCACUGGGCUUGGAUGGACCAGAGGCCAUCUUUGCACUGUGACCCUCAGAUGGGAUGCAGGUGGCCUAGGCACCAGAGGUGGCCAAGGGGAGGCAGAAGCACCACAGCCACCAGUGGCAUGGGCCUGUCUGGGGCCAUGGGGACUCGGGGUCUGAGCUGGCGCUGGGGUCCUCAGCUCUCCCCACCCGCUGCUUCCCUCAGCUGCCUCUUGUGGCACUGUCCAGGCACCUGCCCACCUGAGGCCCAGGAGGGCUUGACCCCCUGUUGAGGGUCAGUUCCCCUGAAGCCAUGCCGGAGACAGAGACUGGUGUGCAGGGGGUCUCCAGGAGUCCUCUCAAACAGAACCCUGCAAGGGAACACAGGAAGCUGGGCCGGGCGGGGGAGAAGUUGAGCUGUGGUGCGACUGGGAGGCCUCGGCUCACCGCCCACAUGCCCAGAGUUGCCCCCAGUCAGGGCGAGGCACCCAAGGCUUCCCAAGCCACGCAUCCUCCAGUCAUGAGUCAGCUUGGACAAGGCUAUUCUCUCCAGCCAGGGCAGGCCUCCAGAGGGUUGGGCUGAGAGCUACUGCCAGCCGCCAGCACUCCCAACAGCGGGGAUCGUGUACUUUGGUACUGCAUGGGGAAUCUGGGCAGCAUGGCCCCAGGUCUACCCCGCACAUAGCCCUGCUGCCAGCCCCCCUUUAUACACCACCCUACACUCCUGCCUUCAUCUCUGAGCCCCUCACCCCAGCCUCCCUGCUUGUAGCUGCUGCUGGUCUGCCCCCGUGCUGGGAGGCCCCCAGGGUAGGGGCUAGGGCAGAGUCUGAGGGUCACAGCUACUUCUCUGCCUGGAUUUGGGGGUCAGUGGCUUAAAUCACCACAGACCCCCAAGGCCCUCCACAUGCACGUCUAACUGGGCAUCCUGCCAAGCCUGUCCCUGGCAAUUUCCUCCCAUUAAUAGCACUUCCAUUCACCCCAGGCAGCAAAUCUGUCAACACCAGCCCCCUUCUGGCUCAUAUUUUUUACUUUUAAUUAUGAUCAAAUGUGGAAUAUUGAGUAGUUUGAUGCAUUUUAGAUGUCCACAGAGAUCUCUUUCUAACCAUGCAAUUGCAGGACUCCAAUGGCUCGUAAAUGGAGCCAUUACUUAAAUAUGUGUGCAGUCGGGGCUCCGGAGCGGGACAUUUUCCCCCAGCAAGCGGUGCUGUGCGGGGAGUGGGAGCCGGAGACAGCACGGGAGUAAUUACCAAGGCAAAAGUGUCCUCUGAUCCCAGGAGCGAGCCCUGUUCUCCACUCGGGUGGGAAGACUGCUGAUGGGUGCUUUCUGGCACCUUGUACCUGGAUACCAAGCAACCAGCAGAGGCCACUGAGCAUUCCCACCCUCACCAGAGGACGUCUUGCCGGGAAGAAGUGACUGGCGGCGCACGGCCCCAUAAAUGCACCUGCUUUGAUCAAGACGAGGUCAGGGCAGAGGGGACUCAGGGUCAGGUGCGGGUCUGAGCCUCACCCCGUCCUCCCUGAGAUGACGCAUCAUGGUUCAGUGAGAGGUUGAACUGGGUGAGCCCCACAUUGACUGCAGGUUGCAGCCCACCGGCUGCAGGUGCACUGCUCUGAUGACCAGGCCGAGGAGGCUUAUCCAGAACAUGGACUGGGAUGGUGCAUCUGGGGCUGGGGUCUUUCCAGCUCUGAAGGAGAGUCUUGGGGGAUGCAGACAUCAGAAGGUAAAGUGGGGGCAUGAGGGCAUGGCCUGUCAGAGCAUCCCAGCAGCUGAGAUGGCCCAGCCUCGCCAGGUCCCUUGUUCAGGCUGUGCAGGUGGCAUGGCCAAGGGAUAGGGGUUCCCUGCAGCUGAGGGCGAUCCUGAUGGGCCAGGAGCCAUAGUCCUCCUUCAAGUGGGUCUCUAAGCUUCCCAUGAACCAUACCUCCCUCACUAGGGUCCAGUCAAAGAGCGGCUCUCCAGGAUCCCCAAGGGCCUCCCUGGGAAGCUUAGAAGGAGGUUUGGGGGCUCCAUGGCCCCUACUCACAUCUGUCCUUUGGAUCUUCCCCUUCACCCUCCAGGCUCCAUUCCCCCUACCCCCAGCCAGCCCCUCUGCUGAUGGGUGGCUCAGACCCUCAUCCCCAAGGAACCCUCUGGGUGGGGGUGGCUGUCCCUGUCCGGUUACAGUCACAGGGAGGGAGCUGCAGGAGCCCUCCCAGGGUGGGGGUCGCCAGGCUCUGCACACGUGUCCCGACCCCUUGUGAGCCGGCAGCCCCGACCUGAAUGCCAGUGUCGGUCUCCCUAGCGAGAGGAGGGUCCCCUUCUUGCCUGCUGGUGUCUGGAAAAAGGAGCCAAAUGGCCCAUCAACAGCCAUGCCUCAAAGCAGAGCAGGACGCCGGCUGUGUCCCUGUGUGAGCACAGCCGCUCUGGAGCCCAGGAUUCGACCCUGCCAAGCCCAAGCCAUGGGAGUGGAAGCACAGGCCCCCAGAGCGUCUCUGGGAGUGAAGGCAGGCACAGGCUGUCCUGACUCCAUCCAUUGUUUCCAAGCCCAUGUGUCCUUCCUGCUGGGGACACAGCGCCACAUCAGGGUGUUUGUUUGGGGGUGGCACCACCUCUCACCGGGCGUUGUGCCCACCACUCUCCCAGGCAGUAAGCCCCAAUAGGCCAUAUUUGAUGGGGCAGGGGCCCUGGGUAAGCAGUGCCAGGUCUGAUGUGGCGUUAUGUGGGGUCCCACGCCAAGCAGGCCAGCCACUCUGCAGGGCCCAGAUGACACUGCUGGCAGGGGCCCAGCAGCAGAAAAGGCAAACGCAGCCAUGGGAUCUGCACCUGUCCCUGGAGAACACGCCUCUCCUUCCCCAGGAAGAGCCCAGUGCAGUCCUCCAGGAGCCCAGCAGCAGCAAGGCUUUUCGAGGAGGCAGCCUCCCUAGGACCUGUGGCUGCAUCUCUGGACAGAGCUGCAGAGCUUCACAGACUCGGCUCCCGGCUGGCUAAGCCCUCAGACAUCCCUAGCCCAGGAGUCCCCGCUCAGAGGCCUCUUUACCUCCACGGAGGGAGACGGAGGGCAGCUGAGGACACUCAGCACUCAGGGCUCUGCAUCCUUAGCCCAUGUUUCUCUCUGUCCCCUCCCAAGUUCAUACAAUGGCAGGAGCCAUUAUCUUGGGGCUCCCUUGGAAGUGAGGCAACCCCCACAUCUGUGCUGACCCCUGAACAGAGGCCAUUUCAGGUAGGAAAGUGGAAUGGGGGAGGGGGCCCUGGCUUUCUUUGCUCUGGCCUCAUCCAAUCGCAGUAAGAGAGUGCUAUGGGCUAAACUGCGUUCUCUUAAAAUCGUAGGUUGACACCCUGCCCCAUGUGACUAUUUGGGGAUAAGACCUUUAAAGGGGUAGUUAAGGUGAAAACAGGUCCCAAGGGUGGGCCUUAAUCCAGUAGAACUGGGGUCCCCAUGGAGAGAGGGAGAGACACAUGGGAUGCAUGUGCACAGAGGAAAGGCCGUGAGAUGGUGAGAAGGCGGCCAUCUGCAAGCCAGACAUAGAGCCCUCGCCAGAAACCUCAUCGGCAACACCCUGACCGUAGACUUCUAGCCUCCAGAACUCGGAGAAAAUGAAUUUCUGUGGCUUAUGCUGCCAGCCUGUGGUCUUGUGUGGCUACAGCCCCAGGAGACACCUGCAAUGACUGAAGCCUGGGCCGUGGCCCCUUCCUUGUCUACUCCACUGAGCUCGGCCCUCUCCAGCUCAGCCCAGCCCCUGGCAGUUCACUUGCCACCAAGUGGGCAGUUGUUCUCCCAAGGAAUGGAGCCAUUUCCCGGGCCCAGCAUGGUCUUCUUUGCUGGCAGGUUGGACACCUGGUGGCCACAGGAGCUGGGUAAGCCUGGCAGUCCUCCUGUGGGGGAAUGUCGUCUCCAUCUCUGCCCCCAACGGUUGCCCCAUCCUCAUGCCCGCUGUGCCGGUGCUGGGUGGCAGAUGACCGAAGCUGAUGACCUCGACCAGCCCAGUCAGUUUGUCUCUGGCCUUUCAGUGGCCCCCUGUGGCUUAAACAUGUGAUACAGGAUCUUCACUGCCUGCGUCUGCCCACGUAUCUCUGUUCCAGACUCCAAGACUCCUCAGGGUGCGCUGGAGAAACACAACGAAUAGGCAGUGUAGACAGAGAGAGGUUUAUCAUGAGGAAAUGGCUCACACGAUUAUGGAGACAGAAGCCAGCAAUUGGCCAUCGGCAAGCUGGAGGCCCAGGAGAGCCCACGUGCAGUCUCAGCCCCAGUGCAAAGGCUGAGAACCGGGAGAGUGGAUGGCGUGGGCUCCAGUCGGAGUCAGAGCCCAAAGGCAGGAGAAGACCAGAGUCCCAGCUGGAAGGCGUCAGGCCCAGGGCAAGUCCUCCCCGGAGCUGCCUUUUGUUCUGUUCUGGCUCUCCACGGCCUCAGUGAGGCCAUCCGCGUUGGUGGGGGAGGUGUCUUCAUCUGUUUGGACUGCUAUGACAAAAAUACCACAAACUGGUGGCUUCUGGAAAAGAAACACUUGUUGCUGAUAGUCCGGCCUGGUGGCAGGGAGCUAAGCCCCGAGGCUCCACACCCCCGAGGCUGGUGAAGGCCGGGUCCUGGCCUCUGCCCACUGAGCUGUCCCCUCCAUGCUGUUUUCCAAUGUUUCCCCUUAAGAGGGCUGUGGUAUGGGUGCCGUCUGUGUUCACACUCACUUCUGAAACCCAGCCUUGGGCCUGCCCUCCCCGUGUGGCUGGUCUGAAUGCCUGAGCUGCUGAAGGAGGUGCCUGGUGCAACAGGCUGGGAGUUUCGGGGUCAGGGUCACCUCCCCACGGAGCUCAAAGGUGCCUCCGGCCCCGCUCAUGGGUGGGCCUGGGUUCUUUCCUUCUCAUAAGGGAUCAUUGCUAGACACAUCUGGCCUUAGCACUGGGUGAGCCUGGUGCAACCUAGCUCCUAAAGAGACGUUCAGGCCACACGGUCACCUGGGGUCCUGCAGUCGGGCGUUCUGUCUCUCUUCGAGCCGGGAGACACAGCAGGAGGUGCUUUCAGAGGCAUUCAUUUCCCUGUAGUCAUAGGAUGAGAAGCCACGUGUUCUCCCCCCAGGCCUGGUGGUAAACUCCACCUUCGUCCUUUCCUGCCACUGGCACCUCCAACUCCACGGUAUCUGCCUGAUCAAGGGCCUGAGCAGUGGGGCUGCUGCCACUACAGAGCUCAACAUGGUUUGGCCACAUCCCCACCCAAAUCUCAGCUCGAAUUGCAGCUCCCAUCAUCCCCAUGUGUCAUGGGAAGGACCCAGUGGGAAGUAACUGAAUCUUGGGUGGGUCUUUCCCAUGCUGUUCUUGUGAUAGUGAGUAUGUCUCAUGGAAUCUGAUGGUCUGAUAAAGGGGAGGUCCCCUGCACACGCUCCCUCUCUCCUGCCGCCAUGCCAGACGUGAUUGACUCCUCCUCCACCUUCCGCCGUGAUUGUGAGGCCUCCCCAGCCAUGUGGAGCUGUGAGUCCAUUAAACCUCUUUCAUUUAUAAAUUACCCAGUCUCGGGAAUGUCUACAUCAGCAGCUUGA